CGUGCGGGGGAUCAAAUUUCUUUCUUUUUCCGAUCCCGCGCCUCCUUUGUGUAUAAAUCUCCUUCUCCCUUCUCUCUUUUGCAGGAGCGAGUUUGUUGGAGAAACGCAUUACGUUCCCUUUCCCUUGUACACACCGCCCGUCGCUACUACCGAUUGAAUGGCUCAGUGAGGCCUUGGGAUUGGCUUAGGAGGGUUGGCAACGACCCCCCAGAGCCGAAAACUUGGUCAAACUCGGUCAUUUAGAGGAAGUAAAAGUCGUAACAAGGUUUCCGUAGGUGAACCUGCGGAAGGAUCAUUACCGAGUGAGGGCCCUCUGGGUCCAACCUCCCACCCGUGUUUAUUUUACCUUGUUGCUUCGGCGGGCCCGCCUUAACUGGCCGCCGGGGGGCUUACGCCCCCGGGCCCGCGCCCGCCGAAGACACCCUCGAACUCUGUCUGAAGAUUGUAGUCUGAGUGAAAAUAUAAAUUAUUUAAAACUUUCAACAACGGAUCUCUUGGUUCCGGCAUCGAUGAAGAACGCAGCGAAAUGCGAUACGUAAUGUGAAUUGCAAAUUCAGUGAAUCAUCGAGUCUUUGAACGCACAUUGCGCCCCCUGGUAUUCCGGGGGGCAUGCCUGUCCGAGCGUCAUUGCUGCCCUCAAGCACGGCUUGUGUGUUGGGCCCCGUCCUCCGAUCCCGGGGGACGGGCCCGAAAGGCAGCGGCGGCACCGCGUCCGGUCCUCGAGCGUAUGGGGCUUUGUCACCCGCUCUGUAGGCCCGGCCGGCGCUUGCCGAUCAACCCAAAUUUUAUCCAGGUGACCUCGGAUCAGGUAGGGAUACCCCCCGUUUU
rnacentral:rRNA from 1 species